rnacentral:rRNA from 1 species
GACAGAGGGUGCGAGCGUUGUUCGGAAUUACUGGGCGUAAAGCGCGCGCAGGCGGAUCCUGCAAGUCGGAAGUGAAAUGUGGCUGCUCAACGGCCACGCUGCUUCCGAUACUGCGGAUCUGGGGACCGGUAGAGGCUGGUGGAAUUGCAGGUGUAGCGGUGGAAUGCGUAGAGAUCUGCAAGAACACCCGUGGCGAAGGCGGCCAGCUGGGCCGGAUCCGACGCUGAGGCGCGAAAGCGUGGGUAGCAAACAGG